GGCUCCCGUGGUCUGGAAGGUCUCUUUCCCGCCCCAUCACCCCAGUGCCAAGCCGCUACAGCCCAGAAAGUUCGCCCCCGCACCAGCGCCAACAGCCCACGAGCUCCACCCCAGCACCAAGGCCCCGCCCACCGCUGAGCCCCGUCCCCACUUCUAGCCCAGGGGAGGGGAGGAGCAGAGGGAGAGGGAGAGAGAGAAUCCGAAGCGGCCUCACAGCUGAGCGUGGAGCCAACACUGGGCUCAAUCCCAUGACCCAGAGACCGUGACCUGAACUGAAAUCAAGAGUGGGACGCUUAACUGACCGAGCCACCCAGUGCACAUCUCAACCACCAGAGGGAGCUUGGCACAAAGGAAUCACAGCUCCGAGCUCAACAGGACAAUUGUGGUGGGCCCGGUUGGACAGGGGAUAUGGAAUCCUGGACCCGAUCCAGAGUCUUAAUGAUGCCAUCUGAAUCCCGGACUCCCUGCGCCAAACUACGCCCCUGCCUGCUGAACCUGCAGCAAGUCCUCAAAUAAAGGAUAAGAUAAAGGAACUCUAGCCACCAGACAGCUCCCCCAGGCUCCUUCGUAUUCAGUUCGGCAACACAGGACAACCACACACUACUGGAACUGUUGGAGACUUACUCUCUCCCACUAUGAGCGGAUGGAGACCCAUGACCCAGAACAGCCAGAAUAAAGACCUCAGUGGCCUCAGCAAAUGUUUACUGCCCUAGCAAAAAUAUUCCCGCAGAGGCAGCCUCCUUCCACGAUAGAGAACAGAUGGACAGCCUCCCUGAGGUGGUUCUGGCUGACAGGUAAAGCUCCUCUACAUUCCAGCAUAAUCCUGAAGCUGAGGUUGAUCACAGACUCUGAAAUCAGACCGCCUGAGCUUAAAUCCCAGCUCCACUACUUAACAGCUGCAUGACCUUGGAUAAGUUAUUUAAUUUUCUGGGCUUCAGUUUCAUCAUUGUGUAAAAACGGGACAAUAAUAGCUACUUCACAGGUGGAGAAGACAGUGCACGGCACAUGGUGAAAAAUCAACGUGAGAACUGACAGAAUGCAAUAGUGGUUAAAAUACGUAUUUUUCAGAUUUUAACAUCCCCGAGAUCAGGAUGCAUUUUAUACUUGAUACGAAAACAAACUAUCUUGUCAGUUUAAUUGGCAGUAUUUUUUCUUUCUUUGCAGUACUUGCUACAUCUUAUAAUAAAUGGCUGCAGUGUCGAUGAAAUAUGGUGUUAUCUUACAGAAGGAGCAUACUUUCAGCAUAGAGAAUGGACUUCGGUGUACAAAAAUGUUGACAGGCACACCCCACAACUUGCUAUGAGACUGUGGUAAAUUACUCCACCUCUCCUAGUAUCAGCUGCCUCCUUUACAAAAAUAGGGACACACAGUAGGCCUGCAAAUUCAGUUCUCUCCUCCCUUAGGCAGAGCUGCCUAUUUUCCCUAUGUCACUUCCUCCUCCUUUUAUAAAGUGGGGUCAAGAUCAAUGAAUGGGAGUAGAUGGAAUAACAAUUUAAAUGACUACUUAACAGUAACACUGCCAGCAAACAGCAGCUUGCAUAGGCUCACACAAAGCACAAGAACAUAUCAAGAAAGAGGGAGUCCAUGUUCUGCCUUGUGCAUUCCAAUUCCAGUAUGAUCUUUGGGCAAAGCCUUGAGGGACAUAGAACUUCGGGGUCUGAGACAAGGCAGGGAGUACUUAAGUUUCAAAAACCUGAGCAAGGGGCGCCUGGGUGGCUCAGUUGGUUAAGCGACUGCCUUCGGCUCAGGUCAUGAUCCUGGAGUCCCGGGAUCGAGUCCCACAUCGGGCUCCCUGCUCAGCAGGGAGUCUGCUUCUCCCUCUGACCCUCCUCCCUCUCAUACCCUCUGUCUCUCAUUCUCUCUCUCGCAAAUAAAUAAAAAACUAAAAAAAAAUAAAAAAAUAAAAAAAAACAAAACAAAACCUGAGCAAAACAGCCACUACCGUAAUACCUCUAUGCCCCUAUUCACAUGGUACAGGGGAACUCUGCGUAUGCGUGGGCAAGAAGGCUUUUCGGUCCCAACUCUCAGGCUGCUGUUCCUGAAACAAAACACAGUCUGAGUCUGUUUCAUCCUUAGUGGCCAGAAAGCCCUAGCAGCUGCUGAUGCAUCUUUACCUUCAUUCUUAGCUUGCGGCAAGGGGUGGGAAGUGGUGGGGAGAAAGCAAGAGGGGACAAGCCCUGAGCCUUCUUGAAUAACUACCAUAUCCCUAGGGAAGAGAGGGUGAGGCUGUUCCCUUAGCAGCCACAGUCAUUGCCAGGAGCACCCAGGAGAUUCCACAGAAAUCGUGGAGGGAGAUGGAGAGAGGAGCAAAGGACGCUGAUGGUGGGGGAAAUGGCAUGUGGAGCUCAGCCUCGAAGCUUCUGAGGAACCACAUAUGGCCAGGCGUGGCAGCUAGAACAGCAAGCCUCAUUUCCACUUUAGCAGCCUGUGCUAUAAGACAAGGUAAAGAUGUGGUUUGGAGAUACCCAUACACGGGAUCCAAUCCUAGCCCCAUGACUUACCACUAGCCUUUAGUGGUGCCAAAAUAAUCCAGUUAGCUAUUCCUUAUCAUUGAGUAGCUACUACAUGCCAGAAAUUACAUUAAUCACUUUUAAGUAAUACCUACUUCAAAAGGUAGUAGAUCUAUAUCUCCAUGGUCAAUUAGUGUGCCAAUAUGGACAAAGGCACCGAGAUCAUUCAAUGGGGGAAAAAACAGUCUUUUUAAAGAUUUUUUUUUUAAAGAUUUAUUUGACAGAGAGAGAGUGGGAGAGAGAGAAAGAGUGUAUACACGCGCAUGUGUGCAUGCAUGAGAGCAGGGGGAGGGGCAGAGGGAGAGAAACUCAAGCAGACUCCCUGCCGAGCAUGGAGACCGAUGUGGGGCUCGAUCCCAUGAUCCCCAGGAUCAUGACCCAAGCCGAAAUCCAUAGUCAGAUGUCCAACUGGCUGAGCCACCCAGGCACCUCCAAAACAGUCUUUUUAAUAAUAUGAUGCUGGGACAACUGGAUAUCCAUAUGCAAAAGAAUGAAUAUGAAACUCUGAUCGCACACCAUAUGCAAGAGUUAACGCAAAAUGGGUCACAGACCUAAAUGUAAGAAUUUAAACAAUAAAAGUCUUAGAUGGAGGGCG